AAUAGAUGCGGCCGUUGAUUUUUUUUCCACAUGUUUGACCAUUCGUCUUAUUCAAAAAAUUUACGUAAUUAUAAUUUAUUUUAUUAUGAGUUGUUUUAUCACUCAUAGUACUUUAAGUGUGAUUUAUAUCUUAUACAUUUGUAUAAAAUUUUUGAAUAAGACGAAUGAUCAAACAUGUGAGAAAAAAUCAACGGCGUCAUCUAUU
rfam:Oryza rufipogon genomic scaffold, chr11